GUGCUGGCUUCGGCAGUACAUAUACUAAAAACUGGAAAGACAGGGAGAAGAUCGCAUGGCCCCUGUGCAAAGAUGACAUGCAAAUUCAUAAAGCAUUUCAUAUAUUU
ensembl:snRNA U6 U6 spliceosomal RNA